CGGGCCCUUCGGGGUCAGUGGCAGACGGGUGAGUAACGCGUGGGAACGUGCCCUUCAGUUCGGAAUAACCCAGGGAAACUUGGGCUAAUACCGGAUACGUCCGAAAGGAGAAAGAUUGAUCGCUGAAGGAUCGGCCCGCGUCUGAUUAGCUGGUUGGUGAGGUAAUGGCUCACCAAGGCGACGAUCAGUAGCUGGUCUGAGAGGAUGAUCAGCCACAUUGGGACUGAGACACGGCCCAAACUCCUACGGGAGGCAGCAGUGGGGAAUAUUGGACAAUGGGCGCAAGCCUGAUCCAGCCAUGCCGCGUGAGUGAUGAAGGCCUUAGGGUUGUAAAGCUCUUUCGCACGCGACGAUAAUGACGGUAGCGUGAGAAGAAGCCCCGGCUAACUUCGUGCCAGCAGCCGCGGUAAUACGAAGGGGGCUAGCGUUGUUCGGAAUCACUGGGCGUAAAGGGCGCGUAGGCGGCUUUGUAAGUCGGGGGUGAAAGCCUGUGGCUCAACCACAGAAUUGCCUUCGAUACUGCAUGGCUUGAGACCGGAAGAGGUUAGUGGAACUGCGAGUGUAGAGGUGAAAUUCGUAGAUAUUCGCAAGAACACCAGUGGCGAAGGCGGCUGACUGGUCCGGUUCUGACGCUGAGGCGCGAAAGCGUGGGAGCAAACAGGAUUAGAUACCCUGGUAGUCCACGCCGUAAACGAUGAAUGCCAGCCGUUGGCGAGCUUGCUCGUCAGUGGCGCAGCUAACGCUUUAAGCAUUCCGCCUGGGGAGUACGGUCGCAAGA
rnacentral:rRNA from 1 species